GGGUGACUCAAAAUAGGGUUGGGAGGGAGAGCAAGGGAGGAAGAUUACCUCUAGAUAGGGAAUAGAGGUGGGAGGGAAAGGGAGGGAGAAGGGGAAUAGCAUGGAUGGUGGAAGGAGACCCUCAUCAUUAUACAAAAUAGAUGUAUGAAGAUGUGAAUUUGGUGUCAACAUACCUUAUAUACAAACAGAGAUAUGAUAAAUUGUGGUAUCAAGGUGAUUUUAAGAAUUGUAAUGCAAAAAAAUAAUAAGAGAAAAAAAUAUAGAAUGAGUGAAUAGCAGUAAUUUUAGAGAACAUGAAAUUCAUCAAGGGACAAUAUGAAAAAAUGGAAUACAAUAUUAGGUAUUAUAUGCUCUUUUUGCUCAAUCAAUUAAUGGAAUAGAGGGGUUGUUUGUAACCCAAGUAGUAUCCAUUGCAGGUAGAAUUAAAGAAUAGGGAUACUAUCCUCAAAUGACCCACUAAUGUGUAAGUUCUGUGAGAAAGAUAUUUGAAUGUAUCCAUGUGUUCCAUGUAUCCAAAAGCAUAGGACAGUGCCAUAACACCCAACUAAUUUGUCCUGCCUGGACCAGCCUCAUUUCUAGGGUAUCUCUCUGAGCUCUGCUCAGUUUAGCAUUAACCUAUCUCCAUCUGUGGAAAUUAAAAAUGCCUCUUACAAUUUAAUAGGCAUUCAGUAAGCUAAUGAGAAGAAAUGUUUUAUUUUCUCCUCAACAGAAAGCAAAUAAUUACCAUAGUAUUAUAUUUAGCUAAGAUUUUCAUUACUUCAGUGUAGGAAUUUCCUCCAUUUUAAAAGUAAAAGCACAAAUCUGUCCAUCGUUACUUAAUUAACAAGCAAAGACAUUGAGCAUAGAACCUAGGAUUGUUCAACAUUUAAAAUUCACUACACAGGAACUGCUACUAGUAUCUUUCCUUUUAAGGAAAUACAAAAUAAAACACUUUUUUUUUGUUUUGUUUUUGUACCAGGAAUUGAACCCAGGGGCACUUAACCACUGAGCCACAUUCCCAGCCACCACCACCACCUUUUUUUUUUUUUUUUUUUUUAAAUUUUUGAGACAGGUUCUCACUAAGUUGUUGAAGCUGCCUUGGAACUUGUGAUCCUCCUGCCUCUGUCUCCUGAUCCACUAGGAUUGCAGUCUAUGCUCUAAGAAAAACAGUUCAAAGUGAAAAACCAGCCUCUAUCUCAGAGCAAAGCCUGUCAAAGGAAGGGACAUGACCUUAGUCCUUGGAAAAACCCACAGAGCACUCCUAGGCACAUUCCUGUAAGGGUCCGGCGGACGUCAUGAAAAAAUGGAUCCAAGUAUUUUUUUUUCAUUCACGUGAUUUAAAUUGUUUAAUUUAAAUUGGGUAAACAGCUGUUGAGGAUUGUUUUAAUAUGUGAACAAAAAAGGACGUUAACAGAUCUGUUUGUUUACUUUCACCAGGAAGAGACCACCAAGAUACCGGCUCAUGCAACAGCAAAAGGGGAUUUAUUGAGGAUCCAAUCCAGCGCGCUGGGGCUCCAGGCUCACUCAACAAGGGAGAGCGGCCCAGAGCCCCGAGCAGAGGUUAAGCAGUGCUUAAGUACACUUUUUGGGGAGGGCAGGGGCUUUGCAUACAUCAGAACAAAUCAUCAUGAGGCGCGGGAAAAUCGAACAACAACUCUCAAACUUGAUUAGCACAUUCAUUGACGGGAACAGGUCGGGCGGGGGUGAUAGGUCAGUUCUAAAGCGGGGUACACAUUCAAACUGAUUGGUUUAGGCCCUGAGAUGCCUACGUGCUAAGCUGCACAGGGUCCUAGGUUAUUAAACAACUAGAUGGUCAGGGGAAAUAUUUACUGGGCAGUCCUGGGAAUUGUCCUAACAGCUACAGGAAUUUCAGGUUUUGGGUGUAGCAUAGGAACUUAACAAUACCUGGUCCUUUACAUUUUAACUCAGGCUUUGCAGCUUAGAAACUUUAUGAUACCCAGUCUUUUACACUUUAACUUCAAUUUCUUUUACUCUUACAAUUCCCACCCUGCUAAGUUGUUUAUCUACAAAUAAAGGAGAGAUCUGCUGCGCCAGGUGUCCUGACUCAGUCAAGCUAGGUGGGGAUCCAUAGCAGCCCCCUAGUAGCCACCAAUCAGCAUGAGACAGGGAAAUACCUGGGAUACCAGAUGACCCUUCCAGUAUUUUAUGGUGAUUGAUAACAAGUUGGGAAACCAUGUAGUACAGCACGUACACCCCUCUUGGCUCAAACCAAUCAGUUCAAACGAAUACCCCUUUUGUACUGACCAAUCACCCCUACCCAACUUGUUCCCGUCAGUGAAUGUGCUAAUCAUGUUUUAGAGUUGUUAUUUGAUUUUCCUGUGGUGUGUGAUGAUUUGCUAAAAGAGGCUAUGAUGUAUGUGAAGUCCCUGCCCUCUCCAAAGAAUGUAUAAAAAUGCUGCAAACCCUGGGCUCGGGGCCUCUCAGUGUCACCAGUUGCUGUGUGUGCGUGCGGAGGACUGAGCUAGCUUGCAAUAAACACCUCUUUGCUGCUUGCAUUGA